GCCAGGCCUGGUGGCACAGCCCUGUAAUCCCAGCAGCUUUGGAGGCUGAGACAGAAGGAUUGUGAGUUCAAAGCUAACCUCACCAAUGGUGAGGUGCUAAGCAACUCAGUGAGACCCUGUCUUUA
rnacentral:sRNA from 1 species